UGGCCUCGUGGUUCUGAACCACAUGGGCCGUGUGCGGCUGGGCGGCAGGAGGACCGGAGUGCAGCGCGUGUGCUGCGGCAGCAGGAGGAGCUGCUGGACGAGGAGCAGCAGGAAGUGGAGGCUGGUUUCCUGGUGGAGCCACACCCCAACUGGAGAGGGGGGGGCAGAGACUUUGGAUCACAGCUGGUUCUGGGCUCAGUCUGAAGCUUCCAGCUCGACACUCGCCUCCGGUCUCCUCCAGAUAAACUAUAAGAAGUCAUCACAGUUUGGAUAAUAAAACUCAAACUUUAUUUUUUCGACACCGGACUUUAACGUAUUUUGGGAUUGUGCCAUUUUUGUGUUUUUUGAGUCCUUUACUGGACAGCUUUUCCUCUCUUUUUUUUUACUUGCCGGAGCACGUUUUGUCUGAAUGCCCCGGGAUCAUCCACUGGCCACAGUUCACCACCCGGCCUGCAGGGCGGCAGCAGAGAGCGGCGGCUGGCCGCUGGACCGGCAGAGCGUCGGCAUGAGCGACUUCUGGCACAAGAUGGGCUGCUGCGUGGUGGCCAAGGCCCCGCCGAAGAAGAAGAGGAGGAGGAAGAUUGAUCGCAGUAUGAUCGGAGAUCCGACAAACUUCAUCCACCUCACACACAUCGGCUCUGGAGAGAUGGCAGAGGGACUUCAGCCGUCGGGGCCGGUACAAGAACAGAUGAGGUCAAAAGGUCAGAGUACGAACGGCGGGAACGGCCUGUUAUAGCCGGUAAACGCACGUUUCAUUGUAACCAGCUGAGUGUUUUAACUGGACAGGCUGAGCGACGACCUCUGACCUCCCCCCCUGCGACCCCCGUCGAGCAGAGCGCUUCUCCUCUGAGGAGAACACUGGAAAAUCAGUAUUAAAGCGUCAGGGAGCGACGACAUCACCGGACUUCAUCUCCCCGGGACGACACGCGUGUGCGUUUAAGAAGAAAGCUGAAACGUUCCCUCUGUAUUCACCUCUAAUGGAUCAUGACCCCCCAGUCACUGGUCACAUGGCCGUAGUGAUGACAUCAUCAACUCCCAGGAUGCCUCAUUCUGCGCAGGAGGGAAAGUCUAGUGUGUGUGUGUGUGUGUGUGUGUGUGUGUGUUCGUAUGACAGCUCAAAUCUCCUGUGACUCAAGCUGUGGCUCUGGUCCCUGAAUCGGGUCCUCUGGCCCCGAGGGGACGGACCUGCACCAACGUUUAGUAUUUGGGGGGGUUGUUCUGAGUAUUUCCUGGUGGCCGAUCAAAUGUUUAUCUGCUUCAUACUUUGACUUUUCUAAACCGAUGUGUAUUUUCUGCAGUUUUUUGGUGCUUUGCUUCUCGAUGUCACGCGUAGAUCUCUGAUACGAGACGAUCGUGGGAAAGUUGGUUGUUGGUUCAAAUUUCACAGAAAGUUUAAUAACGGCACUUUAUGAAAACAUUUUCCUAAACUCAACAUUCUCUCUAUUUUUAAACACAUUUUAUUUAAACAUUUAACCGUCCUAUUACAUUUGUGUUGCUGUAUUAAUGUAGAAAUAUUUCAGUUUUAAAUUUGUGGUUUUAACAAUAUAAAAUCCUGUUUAAUUUAUUUAGUUUGGUUUAAGCCAGAAAUAAAACUCAUCAAAGCCCCAAAUUAUUAAUUAAUUAUUCUCGACAGAACGUCUGUUUAGGUAGAAAAGAAUUCAUCAAUUAUUUCAAGUAAAACAUUAGUGAUCGUUUCAAGCAAAGUCAUAAAAAAAGGGCCAGAACAAGAUGGUUACCGUGGAAACCAGUCGAGUGGCAGGUUCCCGUCACCGUGGCGACGGCCUCUCUGUCUCCCUCUGGGUUAGAACAUCACUUCAGUUUUGCUUGAUUUCUUUUUCUUUCAUUCACAUUAUGCAACCAUAUGAUUUGUAAUUAUAUUUGUUAUAUUUUAUAUAUUUCUUUUCCUCCGCUCGCCCGCUGCCUUCAUGGACUCCUCGCGAUGUCAGAGUUUUCUAAACUCUCCCCUCCUGUGAAAGACCCGCGUGAUGUGACAGCAAUCAGCUGACGGGAAUCACAACCUGACUGGAGGGAACGAGACGCGGGUCCAUCCGUCAUCACAGUCACCUCUGUGGUCUGUUUCUUUCAAAGAUGUUCUAUUAAACGUAUUUGUAUAAUUGAUUUCUUGUUUAUUUAGCAGUUAAAAUUCGAUGAAUCAGUUGGGGAUUAAAGCCGUUAAACGUCUCAAAUAAAAGCUAAUGUGAUAUGAACCGAUGAGCUGCAGUUCCUAAACAAAGAGUUUACUAUAAAAUCAAUGAGUGCUUUAUUAGGUUUGUGAUAUUAAUUCAAUGACAAUUGGCCAGCAGGUCGGAUUAGAGAAUAAUGCUAAUUAUUGCUAAUGCUAAUAAGGUGAUGUCACUUGACUUGAUUCCUUGUUAUGUAACACGUGGCUCAAUAAAUCGGUGCGUUUACAUGA